GGAUAAGCACAAGUUGUUAGGGAGUCCGCCUCGAAUGCGGAAGGUCGCGGGUUCGAACCCCGGCUGGGUCA